rnacentral:lncRNA from 1 species
CCCGCAACAAGUUCUACUGCCCCACUGUCAGCGUCGACCGCUUCUGAUCCCUCGGCCCCGACGACGUCAAGAAUCCUGCCACAGCUUGUGAUGACAACUCUGCCCCCUUUGACCGGUGUCACCCCAUUCAACUACUCCAAAAUUCUCGGGCGGAAUGCGCUCACCGGUUGUUUCUGUUAUUAAAUCCCUGUUGUUGAAAGAAUUCUCUCUCGAGCCCCC